rnacentral:rRNA from 1 species
UACGAAGGUGGCAAGCGUUGUUCGGAUUUACUGGGCGUACAGGGAGCGUAGGCGGUUGGAUAAGCCCUCCGUGAAAUCUCCAGGCUUAACCUGGAAAGUGCAGAGGGGACUGUUCAGCUAGAGGAUGGGAGAGGAGCGCGGAAUUCCCAGUGUAGAGGUGAAAUUCGUAGAUAUUGGGAAGAACACCGGUGGCGAAGGCGGCUCUCUGGACCGACACUGACGCUGAGGCGCGAAAGCGUGGGGAGCAAACAGG